rnacentral:rRNA from 1 species
UGGGGAAUAUUGGACAAUGGAGGCAACCCUGAUCCAGCAAUGCCGCGUGUGUGAAGAAGGUUUUCGGAUUGUAAAGCACUUUCGACGGGGACGAUGAUGACGGUACCCGUAGAAGAAGCCCCCGGCUAACUUCGUGCCAGCAGCCGCGGUAAUACGAAGGGGGCUAGCGUUGCUCGGAAUGACUGGGCGUAAAGGGCGUGUAGGCGGUUUGUACAGUCAGAUGUGAAAUCCCCGGGCUUAACCUGGGAGCUGCA